UUCACGGAGAGUUUGAUCCUGGCUCAGGACGAACGCUGGCGGCGUGCUUAACACAUGCAAGUCGAACGAUGAACCACUUCGGUGGGGAUUAGUGGCGAACGGGUGAGUAACACGUGGGCAAUCUGCCCUUCACUCCGGGACAAGCCCUGGAAACGGGGUCUAAUACCGGAUAACACUUCCACUCGCAUGGGUGGG
rnacentral:ncRNA from 1 species